CGUACGCAAAUUCUUUGACCCUCGAACUUCCUUCUCUUUGUUCUCCCUUGAUCCUUGUGAAAAAGGUUGGAGUAAAUAGACCACAUUCGGGAGGUGCUGGCCAAAGGCCCUACGAUACCUAAGUCAGUUACAUGAUCUUCAGGAAGAUACAAAAUAAAUAGAGAAGGUCAGAGUUUUCUCUAUGGUACGAGAGAACCGGGUAGUCGGAUCCGUGUGUGGUGGUGGCCGGAGCCGUGAGAGAGAGAUAUGAGAGAGUGGCGUGAAAGAGGGGGAAUUUGCGAGUAAAAUUAGAUUACAUCAUAUGUGUGAUGUAGCCAUGUAUUUAUAGUGCUCCUUGUUAGAUAGGGUUUGAAGAAUAAUCCUUACUUAAUUAGGAUUAUUCUUACCCAAAAAUAGGAGAUUGGAAUUAAUCAAGGAGAUUCGGUGGAAAACUCAUCCUUGAUUUAGGGAGAUAUUCCCAUCUCAAAUCAAGUAUAAUUUCCCUAAUUAAAUAAUUGACAUAGGGAAUUUCCCUUUUCCACGUGUCACCCGCUCAUUGGUCGUCGAAAUAUAUGCUCCCACAAAUGCCCCCAACUUCUGUAUGGCACAUAUGUGGCAAGGAGGAG
rnacentral:lncRNA from 1 species